rnacentral:lncRNA from 1 species
ACAAAGCCUGUCCAGAUUGCAUAUUUGAAGUCUGUUUUGAAGGUUUUCAUACUUGGUGAAAACAUAAAGCCCAAUUUUAGCUUUGCAGGUUUGCAUUUCCUUUUUUUUUUUUUUUUUUAAAAAUUUUUUUCUGCGAAAAUCCUUUAAAAAGAAAAAAAAAGCUUUAUACAGCUGGGCACAGUGACUCACGCCUGUAAUCCCACCACUUUGGGAGGCUGAGGAGGGUGGAUCACUUGAGGUCAGAAGUUCAAGACCAGCCUGGCCAACAUGGUGAAACUCCGUCUCUACUAAAAAUACAAAAAUUAGCUGGCCAUGGUGGCGUGCACCUAUAAUCCCAGCUACUUAGGAGGCUGAGGCACGAGAAUCACUUGAAGCUAGGAGGCAGAGGUUACGGUGAGCCGAGAUCACGCCACUGCACUCCAGCCUGGGUGACAGAGUGAGACUAUGUCUCAAAAAAAUAAAAAGGCUUUCUAACUUGCUAC